rnacentral:tRNA from 1 species
GGGCCCGUGGUCUAGUGGUUAAGAGGCGAAAGCCUAACAAACGCUACCCUUACAAGGUAGAGAUCGAGGGUUCGAUUCCCUCCGGGCCCACCA